rnacentral:misc_RNA from 1 species
GGUUUCAGGGUUUGGCUGCUUUAAACGGUACCGUUUUAUUCAAAAAGGCCAAAAAUUAGGGGGAGAGAGGCACGUAAUGAAAAAUUGAAGACACGUAGCCAUGGUGAACGCGUUACAGAGCAAGCAUUUGUUAGUAGGUACGUGGAGACGGCAACAGUUGCAAGUUCCCAUCAAAGGUAAUCAGCAAGCAAAACACAGAGUAGCAAGUGAAAAUGGAGGGUAGAUUAGCAGUUGGGUGGUGGUGGAGGACUCAAAACGUUGGAGAUAAAGUGAAGAAGAGGGAUGACUUGAUGAGAAGACUCAUCGCCGCAAAAGCUUCCAAAAGAGCUUCAGCGCAUGGAACCAAGCGACCUGUCACUGAAACCAUUGACGUCAGUUCAUUUUUUCCUUUCUUUCUUUAAUUAAUUAAUCAUCUUCUCGGUUGGGUGGGUUGAUGUAUAUUGUUGAUCUUGCAGAAGGAGGAAGCGGAGAAGAAGAUCAAAAAGGCAAA